rnacentral:rRNA from 1 species
CCUACGUGAGGCAGCAGUAGGGAAUAUUGCUCAAUGGGGGAAACCCUGAAGCAGCAACGCCGCGUGGAGGAUGAAGGUUUUAGGAUUGUAAACUCCUUUUGUCAGAGAAGAUUAUGACGGUAUCUAACGAAUAAGCACCGGCCAAUUCCGUGCAAGAAGCCGCGGUAAUACGGAGGGUGAAAGCGUUACUCGGAAUCACGGGGCGUAAAGAGUGCGUAGGCGGGGGAAUAAGUCAGAUGUGAAAUCCCGUAGCUUAACUACAGAACUGCCUUUGAAACUGUUAAUCUGGAGUGUGGGAGAGGUAGGUGGAAUUCUUGGUGUAGGAGUAAAAUCCGUAGAGAUCCAGAGGAAUACUCAUGGCGAAGGCGACCUGCUGGAACAUUACUGACGCUGAUGAACGAAAGCGUGGGGAGCAAACAGGAUUAGAUACCCUAGUAGUC